CUCCGGGGCGGGGCGCGGCGCCAGCCUAGCCCGAGGAUGGAGGCUGAGGCCGCCUGUUGAGUCACAGUUUCCCUGUGAUGCUCAUUUUAACCAGAUGGCACUUGCUUAGCAGUUUGGAGGAGAAGACCUGUUCCCCUGCAGGUAUGGGCCUUUGGGAUCAUUACCCUCUCCAGAUCUGGCAGCUCCAUCAGGUGGUGGCUCUUUCUCCAAACGUCCUUGACAGCUUUAGUGCUCCUCCUUCUACUGUGCCCUCUGCCUUCCAUGAUUAGACCUCAACUCAUGAGAACUCUUGCCUUGCUCACAAGUGGGAGUAAAUGCUCAUAGCUCUAGAAAUCUCCCAGGAACCAGACAUCACGGAAACUAGAAAGGCUAAGGGAGUCCAAUCUUCCUCUAAAUUGGCCAACAGUAGAGUGGUGGAAAGAGAACAAGCUGCAAACCAGACAGACCCAAGCUUGAAUCUCACCUCUGCCAAGCUACCAGGUACGUGAGUUUUUCCAAGUUAUAUCACUCCCCUGAUACUCAGGCGCCUCAUUUGAAAGAUGAAGCCUCUUCCUAUCUUACAAGGAUGAAGCAUAUGGAAUGGAAAGCCCUCUGUCAAUGUGGUUAUCUUUGGAAGUGAUUGCAGCUCUCUUGCUUCAUUCUCGCACACCUCUGGAGCCCUUGGUCUCAGUUAGAAUCCCAGCCCUGACACUUAAUGAGGUGUGUAACUUGUCCAAAUAAUCUAACUUCUUUGUACUGUUUCCUCAUCUUUAAAAAGAGGACAAUAAUAGCACUACCUACACAGCACUGUUGCAAGGAUUUAGUGAGUUAAAGUGUGCGUAGUACAUACAGCAGAGCGUGUAGAAGUAUCCAGUGAACUGUUAUUAUCAUAUGAAGAGACUAUUUGGUUGAUCUCGUCAAGGACAGAAAGCUCCUUGGGGCUUGAAACCUUGCCUGUAUACCAGUUACAGACUCCCUUUUGCUGUUAAACCCAGUCCUUAGGAUGCUCAGUCAAAUCCUGUGGACUUACUGGCUGUUCUGCUGACGUGGAAACAAGGUGGGGUGUGACCCAUCUCCGGGCGAGUAAACUUUUGGGCACCUGACAGUGUCAGAGCCUCGGGUACCACCUGUAAAUGGAUGGAACCCUGUGUCUGUGCCCAUAGCAUUGGUCUGGUCUGUCAUCAGAAAGGAAUCUUGCUGUCAGAUGAUCACACAUCCUCCCAUAGUCUAGUUUAGUUUAGUUUAGUUUAGUUUAGUUUAGUUUAGUUUAGUUUAGUUUAGUUUAGUUUAGUUUUUUAAGACAGGGUCUCGCUCUGUCACCCAGGCUGGAGUGCAAUGGCAUGUUCAUGGCUCACUGCAACCUUGACGUCCCAGGUUCAAGCGAUUCUCUCACUUUUGUCUCCCAAGUAGCUGGAACUACAGGCAUGCACCACCAUGCCUGGCUAAUUUAAACAUUUUUUGUAGAGAAGGGGUUUACCAGUGUGGCCCACGCUGGUCUUGAACUCCUGGGCUCAAGCGAUCCUCCUGCUUUGGCCUCCCAAAUUGUUGGGAUUAUAGGCGUGAGCCACUGCACCUGGUCCCCCAGAAGCUAAAGGAUGGUGCAGGUUCUGUUUUUAAAUGUACCUGUUAAGUAUGUAUUAGCUCAAACAGAGUUUACCUGAGAUGUGCAUCUGGGGUCCACCCUCUUUGGCACUGUCCCUCAUUUUCCUCCUCCAACAUUCUCCCAAUCUCUCUCUGUUAACCCCAACAACCUGCCACCCCUCCCUAACAAAGGAUUCCCAGCUCAAGGCCAAUUCCAAUUGGAUCGAGUUUUUCUUCUGCAGAAAUUGUGGGGAGGUGGCUUCAGAGGCUCACAAGCAGAACCCCACCCAGACACAUAAACUUUUCUUUGGCUGGUACCAACUCCUCUAUUGCAGGGUAUGGUCCAAGUAGGUUAUACAAGUCUCUACCUCUUCUAGCUGAAGCCAACCUCCCAGGAAAAGGAUGAGAGGAGAAAGCCAUCCUGCCUGGUGUGUGGAUAAUACCACCACCAGAGUCUCCUGUAAUUUUGAUUCGAUGGCAUGCAGCUGCGUGACCUAAGGCACGUAUCUCCAUUCACAGGGUGUGGUCAGUACUCUGUGAAUAUCAGGUGUUCUGUCUGCCCUGUCUCCUGUCUUCCUGGAGCCUGCCCUUACCCAGUGAGUCCCUGGAGGGAACAUUCUGGCAUCUGGCUGUGAGCUGUCACAGACAUGGGUUUCUUUCGGUUCCCAGAAUGAUGGGAUGCCAGCCGCUGGCUGCCCCCAAGAAACUUGGGAGCAGGACAGGCUUGGCUGUCCCAGAGGAAGAGCCUGGCAUUGGGCCAGGAGGCUCAGGAGGGAAGAUGAGCUCAUUCUGCCCAGCUCGGUUCUCCCGUAUGCAGACCAGGUCAUCACAGGGACCUGCCUCCACAUUUGCAUCCCCCACGGCAUAUUUUCCCAGCACAUGCAGCAUUGGGAACUUGAACGUCCCUCUGCUUUUCCUUGGUGAGACCCACCAGCCCCGCCUUAGGAAGGAGGCUGAACAUUUGACGGAGCUUUCCUGUCACCUGUGAGCGACGUGCACGCUGCUUCCGAAGAAAGAGACAUCCCCCUACUGUUUUCUCACAGUGGGAUGAUUCAACUUUUUCUUUCUCACAAUCCCAGAUAAUCAUAUCUUCCCAGGUUUUGUCAUCUUUGAGGACUACUCACUAUCUAGUUAUGAGUCAAACAAAACCCAAUUUAACUGAUAACUAACCAGCCAUCACGUAUCCCUGAAGAUAAACCUGGUUUAUCCUUUUUAUACCCUCUGGCAGAGCAAAGGAACAAGGAGUUUGGGAGAGAAAAAAAAACACAACACUAGAAACAGCACUGACACAGGUCGUUAAAUACAGAUGUGACCAGCCUUGAUUACAAGUGUUGUCAUCCUCUUUUAACAGGGACCUACCCCGAACUUUCAUGAACCCCUGGUAGCUGAAUAGCAGCUUGUCUAAGCGAGGUGCAGGGAUUUUGUCAAAGUCGGCCUCGGUGUUAAAGGCAGGGCCACCUACCAUGAACUUCUCUCUGUGACUUUAUUCUUUAGCAGUGCUCAAGUGUAAAUAAACUUGUUUACCAGGAUCAGAAUGGCCAUGUUAAUGAAGUCUUAUUUGUGUCACCACAAUGACAAGUAAUUUGUGCACAGCUGGACUCGGAGAGGGGACAAAACCAGAGAAAUUGUAUUUCUGUUCUGAAGUUUCCAUACAGAUGCCUUAGGCCAAAGUUAGUACAGCCAAUAUUUGCCUGUUUCUUUGGAUUGUGUGUCCAUGCUGGAGAAAAGCCUUGUUACUGUGCCCAGUGUGGUAAACGAAAUUAUAUGUACGCAGUGAGAAGAAAAAUGAAAUAAGAAGCACUGAUGAAUGUACCCACGGGUGUGACCUUGGGGGCCAGUGUGUGGUUUUUAUGAAAUGAACGCAUGAAUACGAGGACCCUAAUUAUUGCUUUCAACGGACAAAGUAUGGUGAAUAUAUAGAGAACGUUGCUGUACAACACUGGCUGUGUCUCAAAGCGGCUUUAGAAGUAAAUAUAGAAAUUCUUUGGUACAUGGUAUUGCAUAGAAAAGUCAUUAAGAAAAAAGCAAGACAAUUUGUUAAGACCUUGUUAAGUGGAGCUGGGGGAUGAUUAAUUUUGUUUGUUUGUUUUUGUUGUUCCCUGGUAGAGCUCAACAAACUACAGACCACGGGCCAAAUCUGACCCACCGCUGCUUUUGUAAAUAAAACUUUAUUGGAAAAAAGCCACAUUUGUGUAUGUGUUGUCUGUGGCUGCUUUUGUGCUACCGAGACAGAGGCAAGAAAGGAGAGAAAAAGAGGCAUGGAGCAGGUAUAUUACGGGUUGAAUUGAGUUCACCAAAAAGAUAUGUUGAAAUCCAAAGCCCCAGUGUCUGUGAAAGUUACCUUAUUUGGAAAUAAGGUCUUUGCCAAUGUAAAGAUAAAGUCAUGCUGAAUUAAGGUGAGCCCUAACCUAAUAUGGCUGGUGUCCUUAUAAGAAGAGAAGAGACAGACAAAGGGAAGGAGUCCAUGUGACCACAGGGCCAGUGGAAGUGAUGCAACUGCCUGCCAAGUGCACCAAGGAUGGGUGGCCACCAGCAGAAGCUCGGAAGAUGCAAGGAAGGAUUCUAUCCAGAGUUACAGAGGGAGCAUGGCCCAGCUGACACCUUGAUUUCAAACCUGUAGCCUCAAGAAAUGUGGAUAAUGACCUUCUGUCAUUUUAAGCCACCCCGUCUGCAACACUUUCUUAUGGCAAUGUGAUGGGUAAGCUUAUGUGUCAAUGUGACUGAGCCCCAGGAUGCUUAGAUACUUGAUGAAACA
rnacentral:lncRNA from 1 species